rnacentral:misc_RNA from 1 species
AAACCAAACGCCCUCUUCACCGUUCCCACACUAAGAAAAGUCCAGCAAACGAAACCGACCCAAAUGACCAGCGCAUAGCUGGCAAUUCGCCUUCCAAUCGCAAUUCGUCAGCCAUGGAUUCGCUCUCUCCGCCACAAGAGCCGUAUCGGAACUGGGUGGAGCUGCCGCGGGACGUUACAGCGUCGAUCCUUUGGAAGCUGGGGGCGAUCGAGAUCUUGACCUCAGCGCAGCUCGUCUGCUCCACAUGGCGUAGCAUCUGCAAGGACCCCUCUAUGUGGAGAUCGAUCGACAUGCACAAUUUGGGUGAUCUCUGGGACAUGGAUUAUGAUCUUGGGAGAAUGUGCAGGCAUGCUGUUGAUAGAAGUUCUGGUGGCUUGGUCGAUGUAAACAUUGAGUAUUUUGGUACUGAUGAUCUCCUCCAAUACAUAGCUGAUAGAUCUAGUCAUCUCAAACGACUUCGGCUUGUAUGUUGCUAUAGCAUUUCGGAUGAGGGAUUAAGUGAAGUAGCCACAAAAUUUCCAUUACUGGAGGAGCUUGACAUUUCAUACUGCUCAUUAUCAAAACAAGCUCUUGAAGUUGUUGGGCGUUGUUGUCCUCUACUGAAAUCAUUUAAGCUGAACAACCAGGGGUGCAGAAACCCGCAUAUAGAGUGCAAUGAAGAGGCACUAGCUAUUGCCGAACACAUGCCUCAUUUGCGCUACCUUCAAAUUUUUGGGAAUAAGCUGACAAAUGAAGGCUUGCAAGCCAUUCUAGAUGGUUGUCCACACCUUGAAUCACUUGAUCUGCGCCAAUGUUUUAAUGUCAAUAUGGACGGACAUUUAGGGAAAAGAUGCAUUGAACGGAUCAAAGAUUUGCGGCAUCCCUAUGAUCCCACUGAUGACUAUCCCUUUGAUGCUGAAAUUGCUGACGUGGGAUCAUCUGAGGAAGACUAUCCAUCUGGAUUUUCUGAGAUUGAUUUCUUGUCUGAUGAUGAUGACUACUAUGAAUUCUCUGGUGGCAGUGAUAUGUCUGACUUUGAGCACCUAUAUUUUGAUUAGCUCCUUUUUGAUGAAGUUGAGAUGUAUUCAGACAAAUUGCAUUCAAACUGGACUUCUCCAUGGGGGACGACUAUGAUGUGCUGAUAGUAGUGAUGAUUUUAUAGAGGUUUUGUAGGUGGAGAUGUGGCUGCUU